rnacentral:rRNA from 1 species
UACGUAGGGGGCAAGCGUUGUCCGGAAUCAUUGGGCGUAAAGCGCGCGUAGGCGGCCCGAUAAGUCUGCUGUGAAAGUCCAGGGCUCAACCCUGGAAUGCCGGUGGAUACUGUCGGGCUAGAGUUCGGAAGAGGCAAGUGGAAUUCCUGGUGUAGCGGUGGAAUGCGCAGAUAUCAGGAGGAACACCUAUAGCGAAGGCAGCUUGCUGGGACGACACUGACGCUAAGGCGCGAAAAGCGUGGGGAGCGAACAGG